CUGAACCAUGACCACCUCCCCCAAACUAGUGAGGACCCCUACCAGAAGGAAGGGGUGACCCCCAUCACCCUCCCUUUACCCACUACUUGCAAAGUCCAUUCACUAGCUGGACGCAAAGCUAUUUGCUCUGUGCCAGGACCGGGAGAACCACACCCCUGGAGCCAUGGCUGCGGGGCCACAACUGACUCACCUUCUCGCUGUCAUCCGACAGGGAGAGGCUGUCGAUGCUGAGGCACGAGAGAAUUUGUUCCUGCUCCUCCAGAGAAAAUGGCUGGGACAGGCUGUUCAGGAAUAAUUCUGCAGGGAAAAGUGGAAGAUGGCUGUGAAAGACUGGGAGGAGGCUGGCUGUCUUUUCAGGGGUUCUUCCUGCACAGUCUGUAGAAGCUGAGCUGCUGGGGAAGGGGCUAGAAGAAAGCCCACACCGCAGGUGUCAGCAGCAAAUUGAAAAACUACAGAAUCAGUUCCAGAGGACUUUGUUAACAAGAAAGAGACGACUGAAAAAAGCCCUGGGGCUAUACCAACUCAAGAGUUCCCAGGCAAAGUGGCGUCCUGGACCCGCCAUCUCUCCUACCCCGUCCUGAGUCAGUACUUCCCCAGGCACCGUUGGUUCUGGUGUGGGGCAAGUUCAACCCUGGGACCACCCUCAUCCUUAUAACUACCAGCUGUCUUUGGUGAGGU